ACAAGCAAUACCAAGCUCCUGGAGUGCUGGUGAGGGCGACAGAGGGGAGGGGAAGAAAAGGAUGAGGGGAAGGAAAAGGAAGGAGGGAGAAUGAGUUGAGGGCAAGGGAAGAGAAAGUGAAUAAAUAGUGGGGAUGAAUGGUGAGGAAAGUGAGGAGAGAGGGAACGGAAGGAGGAGGUGGAAGCAGGAGAUGGAGGGGAAGAAAGAGACAGGAAGGAUGGAGAUGUAGCAUGGCAAGACAAAAGCAGAAGAAAGAAGGAGAGAGAGUGCGAGUGGGAAGGAGAGGAGGGAGUUUUGAGCGAUAGUGAACAUACUCUAGAUGAAAGCUUUCUGAGGAGUGGGACGCUGAGAAGCAUCAGCGCUGUCAGAGCAUGUUCAGCCCUCAGGGACAGCCGGGGGCCGGCUGUCAGCCUUUAUUUGGAGAGCGCGGGGCUUUUCUACUCCACCUGAAGCCGUGGAAUCAGCUGAGAGAUUAAAGUCACCGUGUGAGACCCGCUGAGGUUUCGUGUGGGAGCAGAGAAGAGAGACACUGUGCGCACACUGCCCUCCAGUGGAUGCGCUGCAGUCUGCGUUUCUUCCACGUCUGCUGCAGUUAGUUGAACAGUGGCAAGACAUACGUUAUGUCUGCUGCAGAGGAAAGGUGAGUGUUCCCUGUCCACUGCUUUAAAUAGAGCCCGGAUCCACUGCUACCCUCGGAAGACGCCUCGACGCCGGCUGGUGUCUUGAAAGUGCACUUCCUCCCGACUGCGUCUGCGCUGCGAUGCAGCACUGGAGUGAAUGUGCGUGGGUGGCGAGGGUCAGCUGGUGUUGUGAAUCAGGCCGCUGAAGUGUCAGACACGGCUUCUUCACAACACCAGGGUUCCUCCCCACCGCUUCCUGCUGGGGUACACGAUACAUCAGCAAGUCUCUCAUCAAUAUUGCACAUCAGAAGCUAGUAAAUACUAGGUGAGCUUUCGCUGAACGCUACAGAGAACUGAACUGAGUAUCUGUAAGUUAACAUGAAUGCAUAAUCGUGUACAGUCCUUUAUAGGUUUGUGCUUGUUCCCUGAAAAUCUUCCAUCAUAUAAUAGUCUAUGAUUUAAAUAAAUGCUGAGUGCAUGUUACCACGUUUCAGAAAUGCUGUUAAUAUCAGCGUCUACCUAAAGGAGUAUUAAGACUAUGGAUUUGUACUGUAGAUUGAAAAUUGGGAACACAAAUUUUUACACCAUCCACUUCGCACUUUAUUAUUUAAUUACUUUAAAUGAUUUUAGAUGCAAUACAAUGUCUCCAUAUGCUGAUAUGAUCACAACUGUUUAUGAAUGUACAGAAUUGUCCAACCACUGAUAACAAAUAAACUUGCCGUCAUUUCUUGAAUCAUUAAAUAAAGAUGCAUUAUGAUUUAACACUGCGCCUGCAUUUGGUGGUUUCUUUUUUGUUGCGUCUUGUUUUAUGAUACUGGUACUUAUUUAAGAAAGAAUUGUGAAACUAAAAC